GACGAACGCUGGCGGCGUGCUUAACACAUGCAAGUCGAACGGAAAGGCCCUGCUUGCAGGGUACUCGAGUGGCGAACGGGUGAGUAACACGUGGGUGAUCUGCCCUGCACUUCGGGAUAAGCCUGGGAAACUGGGUCUAAUACCGGAUAGGAGCCAUUUUUAGUGUGAUGGUUGGAAAGUUUUUUCGGUGUAGGAUGAGCUCGCGGCCUAUCAGCUUGUUGGUGGGGUAAUGGCCUACCAAGGCGGCGACGGGUAGCCGGCCUGAGAGGGUGGACGGCCACAUUGGGACUGAGAUACGGCCCAGACUCCUACGGGAGGCAGCAGUGGGGAAUAUUGCACAAUGGGCGCAAGCCUGAUGCAGGGACGCCGCGUGGGGGAUGACGGCCUUCGGGUUGUAAACUCCUUUCGCUAGGGACGAAGCUUUUGUGACGGUACCUAGAUAAGAAGCACCGGCUAACUACGUG
rnacentral:rRNA from 1 species